UACGGGGGGGGCAAGCGUUGUUCGGAAUUACUGGGCGUAAAGGGUUUGUAGGUGGCUUGUUAAGUCAGACGUGAAAUCCCUCAGCUUAACUGGGGAACUGCGUCUGAUACUGGAUGGCUUGAGUUUGGGAGAGGGACGCGGAAUUCCAGGUGUAGCGGUGAAAUGCGUAGAUAUCUGGAGGAACACCGGUGGCGAAGGCGGCAUCCUGGACCGGCAUUGACGCUGAGGCGCGAAAGCCAGGGGAGCAAACGGG
rnacentral:rRNA from 1 species